UGGCAAUGAUGAAAAAAAGGCCGAACUAACGGCUGCUACUAUACAGUUGGUAGUAGAUUGAUGAAAGCUAAAUUUGGGUAUUUAUCUCUGAGCCAC
rnacentral:snoRNA from 1 species